GAUGAACGCUGGCGGCGUGCCUAAUACAUGCAAGUCGAGCGAACAGACGAGGAGCUUGCUCCUCUGACGUUAGCGGCGGACGGGUGAGUAUCACGUGGAUAACCUACCUAUAAGACUGGGAUAACUUCGGGAAACCGGAGCUAAUACCGGAUAAUAUAUUAAACCGCAUGGUUCAAUAGUGAAAGACGGUUUUGCUGUCACUUAUAGAUGGAUCCGCGCCGCAUUAGCUAGUUGGUAAGGUAACGGCUUACCAAGGCAACGAUGCGUAGCCGACCUGAGAGGGUGAUCGGCCACACUGGAACUGAGACACGGUCCAGACUCCUACGGGAGGCAGCAGUAGGGAAUCUUCCGCAAUGGGCGAAAGCCUGACGGAGCAACGCCGCGUGAGUGAUGAAGGUCUUCGGAUCGUAAAACUCUGUUAUUAGGGAAGAACAAAUGUGUAAGUAACUAUGCACGUCUUGACGGUACCUAAUCAGAAAGCCACGGCUAACUACGUG
rnacentral:rRNA from 1 species